rnacentral:sRNA from 1 species
AACUAGCCCCGAUAGCAGUGAAAUCCUUUUUGUGUUUUUUUUAAACACAAAAGAUUACUUCACCAAUUUAAUAAUUAUUUUGGUGUUCAGUGAAUUACAUUUGCAACGAAUAGCGGGAAUAGCU